UACGUAGGGCGCGAGCGUUGUCCGGAAUUAUUGGGCGUAAAGAGCUCGUAGGCGGCCGGUUGCGUCUGCUGUGAAAUCCCGGGGCUUAACCCCGGGCGUGCAGUGGAUACGGGCCGGCUGGAGGCAGGCAGGGGAGAAUGGAAUUCCCGGUGUAGCGGUGAAAUGCGCAGAUAUCUGGAGGAACACCGGUGGCGAAGGCGGCAUCCUGGACCGAUACUGACGCUGAGGAGCGAAAGCCAGGGGAGCAAACGGG
rnacentral:rRNA from 1 species